rnacentral:lncRNA from 1 species
CCCUUGGCCCAUUGGUUGAUCAAGGGUUAAUUAAUGCUUCUACAUCCAGAGGUCUGGGGUUCGAGUCCCAUAUACUGCAAUUUAAAAAAUAUAUUUGCAGAUUAUUGGAGGCAAAUGUGCAUGAGAUCUUCAGCGAUGUAUAAUUAUAGCCGUUCGCCAGGAUUCUACACAGAGGGAGAAGUGUCCAUCAAGAACAUGAAGAAGGAGGUGAAAGAGGUGACGUCUAUCGUGGAUCUAAUAAGGGUCGGAAGGAAUUGUCAGUUGUAGAAUCGCUAUGUAACAGUUUUUCAUAAUUUGUAAUAAUUAAUAAAUCUUGAGGAAAAAAACACUUAAAAUUAAAUUUGUUUAUAUAUAUAAUUUAAAAUGACUAUAAUC